GUUCAGUAGACAUCAAGUUGCAAACAGCAAGUGCAUUUUCGCCUCCGUACUUCGUUUCAAGCUGAAAUUAUCAUAGCAAGAAUGAAGCUCUACAUGUGCCUGGUUCUCUUGAUGUUCGUUGGAUGUACCUGGGGUUUCGCACUAAGGGACGACUUUGAUCCUGAGGAGAAAGAGAGAACAGUGUCAGCUCGUGAGAUUGUUGAGCGGACGCACUGGUGCUUGGUGGACGAAGAUUGCCCCUGGGAACGGUACCACUGUGAUAUUGAAGGGGGUUGGCCGUUUGGCAUGUGCAAUCCUGGCCCUCCGCAUGAAUGAAUUGAACAAUGAUUGACAGUGUUUAUCCAACAGCAAGGCUUCAUCUUUAAUAAAUUUAAAGGGUUACAUUUGGCUUUUUUUAUUUCAAUUUCUUUUCCUGAUAAGACUUCUUUUUUAACAAUACUGGUAUCGUAUAGCAGCCAGUUAUUACAUUGAUGCCUUGACAGUGCUGAUCUUGAAAGCUUAUCAUGAUUGCAUGGGUGUCGCCAGUAUUUUUUUCUUGGGGGGUAAAAGCACACUUUCUCCCUUAAAUCAACGCAUGGCACAUCGUUAUUUUUAAAAGGACGCAUAUUAUCCAGAUCAAUUCUUUUCAUUUAUUAAAGGGGCACUAGGUCCUGAAAUCCCCGAUAAUUUCAUGUUUUGGAUUGUUUCCUAAUCCUAUUUCAAACAUCAGACCAAACCUCCGUUCUAGAUCUAAUCCUUUGCGUCUGACUUUCCCACGUACGCACAACAAAGCUGACCAGUGACAAAACAUUUACGGUCACUGCAGCGAAGGAGUGGAAUAGUCUGCC